GGGCUCCUGAUACAAGUCAGGACACUCUGUAGAAUGAAUUAGACAUAAAAGCACAUGAAACAAUCUCGGUUUAGGAUGUUUUUCUUUUUCACAGAUGUAAGAAUUUAUCUCAGAUUUGUGACUUUGAGCGAUAAAGUGUCAAAAUAUUUAAUCAUGUUUACAGAAAACUCUCUAAUCUCAUCAGUUUAUGACCUCAGCAACUUCUACACAACUUCACUCCCAGAAGUAUAACUUUAUUCUGAAGAUUAUGACUUAAAUGCCACUUUAUUCAGAUUUCACAUUUCAUAUUUUCUGACUUUGAUCUGAGAUUAUUAACUUUUAAGCCUGACAUGUGACUUUGAACUCACUAUUUCUUUAACGUAUCAUCAUGAAGUAAAUGUUGAAUACACAAUGUCACAGUUGUAAGACAAACUUUGCUCUCACUGUGCUAUUCUGUCAAUCUCCAGAGGAAAUGAUAUAAUUUCUAUCUGCUUCUUCAUCUCGAUUUAUACGAGUACAUUCAUGAAUAAACUCUGGUUUAUGAAUAUUAUCAAAUUGCAGAAGUUUACUCUGAAAUGUGAACGUCUCAGACAGUCCAGCUUCUCAGUCUUUACUUCAAGCUAAAGCUAAUAUCUGAAACUUUUCACCUGAACCUCAAACGUCACUGUCCUCAAACUUUUAUGAUUUCAUCUCCUUCCACAGGUGCUGAUUCUUCGAGAAGGACACGAAACGUGUCAUCUCGGUUCAUCCGACAUCAGCAUCACCUUACGCUGACGGAUGACUCCACAUCACUCGCUCUGUCAUCACGUCUUCCAGAAAGCAUCCGUCACAGUCCUGGCAGGCUUCAGUCAGUCAGAUAAGCCGGCGAAACCUGUCUGACUAAACAUCAGACGAGUGUAUUUCCACAGUCUGCGGUGUGACAGCCACGCUAAAGAGAUUUAAUCACGGUAAACAAGGCACACAUGGUACACAGAGCGCACGCCGUCUGAUUUCGCGGCACGUGGAAGCUUCCCGCAAACAUCACGUGAUCUCGACUCUUAAAGGUUUUCCGACAUUCACACAAACUCCCGGCGAGCUCCGCGGUGACAUCAUUUCAAAUAAAUCAUAAUGUGGCGAAGCGGAGCAGCAGCUCUUCCUGUGACCUUGUAAUAGUUUUUGACAUUUGGGAUUUCUGAAACAUGUUUAAUCUCAGGAUAAUCACGGUGAAUCGGACAGCGCUAUCCAUCAUGGCCGAUUGUAAUUACCUGCGUAUAGAUCACUGUCACAUGGAAAGGGGCCAUUAAAGGGGAGUUCUGCGUGUGAAUAGAAAACAUUCAAUCAAAAUGCCACGGGCAACACGACCGGCGGCCGGGAGAGCGCUGAUUGAACAAGAACCCCGAACCAGGACAUCCCGAGCGCUGAUGGCGGCGCUCCCAGGUGGGCUGGCUGCGUGUGACAGCCUCACAAACAGGUGGAUCGGUGUGGAGAGCAGGUCUGUAUCCUCUGUUUGACCAGCUUGGUGCAGUUGAGCUGGUGGAGAAACACCAGGCCAAAAAAAUCCAAAAUAAACCCCAGAGAGAGUAAAGCUCAUUCUGAUUGUUCUCUGACGUUUCUAAAAGCAGCGAAACCUUUUGUGGUGUGUUUUAUUUGAGUUGAAUCGUCCCGAAUGUUUCCAACAAAAAGUUCAGA
rnacentral:lncRNA from 1 species